UACGUAGGGGGCUAGCGUUGUUCGGAAUUACUGGGCGUAAAGCGCACGUAGGCGGAUUAGUAAGUCAGGGGUGAAAUCCCGGGGCUCAACCUCGGAACUGCCUUUGAUACUGCUGAUCUCGAGUCUGGAAGAGGUGAGUGGAAUUCCUAGUGUAGAGGUGAAAUUCGUAGAUAUUAGGAAGAACACCAGUGGCGAAGGCGGCUCACUGGUCCGGUACUGACGCGGAGGUGCGAAAGCGUGGGGAGCAAACAGG
rnacentral:rRNA from 1 species